AACGAACGCUGGCGGCAUGCCUAACACAUGCAAGUCGAACGAUACCUUCGGGUCUAGUGGCGCACGGGUGCGUAACGCGUGGGAACCUGCCCUUAGGUUCGGAAUAACUCCCCGCAAGGGGUGCUAAUACCGGAUAAUGUCUUCGGACCAAAGAUUUAUCGCCUUUGGAUGGGCCCGCGUUGGAUUAGCUAGUUGGUAGGGUAAAAGCCUACCAAGGCGACGAUCCAUAGCUGGUCUGAGAGGAUGAUCAGCCACACUGGGACUGAGACACGGCCCAGACUCCUACGGGAGGCAGCAGUGGGGAAUAUUGGACAAUGGGCGAAAGCCUGAUCCAGCAAUGCCGCGUGAGUGAUGAAGGCCUUAGGGUUGUAAAGCUCUUUUACCCGGGAUGAUAAUGACAGUACAGGGAGAAUAAGCUCCGGCUAACUCCGU
rnacentral:rRNA from 1 species